rnacentral:lncRNA from 1 species
GAGGGUUGUGCUUCAAUAAAAUAUUUAAUGACAAUCACUGUGGCUAGAAGCCUUGUGAAUCUUGAACGCCUUGAACUAAACGACUGUAAGUUGAUGAAAGCUAUAAUCAUUUCAGAAGAUCAAGAUCUGGACAACAAUUACCCUUCCAAAUCUAUCUUGCAGAACAAGGUACAUUUUUAACCUCAUCAUACUUCUUCCGUCUAUGUUUUGUUUAUAAACUUUAAGCUUAAUAAUGUCUGUCUUAAAAAUUUUCAUUUAUGUCCAUUAACUUUAAGUUGUGGACAAUCUAUUUAGUGCCUAUUGUUAACAUAAGCAAGGUGAUAUGGUCAUUACAACCUAAUCUCCAAAUAUCUGAUGUGAUAUGGUUCAUUUUUGCUAGUAUAAGCUUUCAUGGUUUUGCUUUUGAAAUCACCAAAAAGGCUUCAUACCGAUGGAAAUAAUUGUCUUCAAUACUUAUGAUCAUUUCCCUUUCCCUGUGUAUGUUUAGAAUGCAAAUAUAACCUUCUUAUGGGAUAAAAACUAAUUGGUUACAUAACAAACAAGUGAUAAAUACAAGUGAUCGGAUCUAAGAUAGGUCAAUAUAGAUGGGUUAAGUUAAUACUUUUAUGUCAGCUUUUGUUAAGAUGUGCUAAAUCAUGUUAUAAUAUGUUUAUAAUCAUGCCAUAUCCAAAAAAAGAGGUAUAUAUAUUAUUAUAAUUUUCUAAAAAGAGGUUCAGAGGCUUCCAAUAGAAUAUUCAAAACUCAAGGACUUCAACUUGGUCAUAUAUUUAAACUUACCAUGUUAGUUUGAUUUUUGAGCAAAAGUUAUAAUUAAACUGAAAUGAUGAAUAUAAUGCAGGAUGUUUUUGCGAACCUGGAGUCCCUCUUAAUCUCUCGCAUGGAUGCUUUGGAGACAUUAUGGGUCAAUGAAGCUGCUUCAGGAUCCUUUACAAAGCUGAAAAAAGUGGACAUCAGAAACUGCAAAAAACUUGAGACAAUCUUUCCAAAUUACAUGCUUAACAGAGUGACAAAUCUCGAGAGAUUAAACGUUACAGAUUGCAGUUCCCUAGUGGAGAUCUUUCAAGUGAAAGUCCCAGUUAACAAUGGCAACCAAGUAAGAGACAUUGGAGCUAACCAUUUGAAAGAGUUGAAGCUGCUUCGUCUACCUAAACUAAAGCACAUAUGGAGCUCAGAUCCACACAAUUUUUUACGCUAUCCAUCUCUCCAACUUGUUCAUACAAUUCAUUGUCAAAGCCUUUUGAAUCUCUUCCCUGUAUCCAUAGC